GGAAAGCUUGACGGAUCCCAGUAAAUUAGACUCUGGGAAAGAGCCGCAUAUUAGCCUUAUACCAAACAAACAAGAUCGAACACUCACUAUUGUGGAUACUGGAAUUGGAAUGACCAAGGCUGACUUGAUCAACAACCUUGGAACUAUCACCAAGUCUGAGACCAAAGUGUUCAUGGAAGUUUUGCAGGCUGGUGCAGAUAUCUCUAUGAUUGGCCAGUUCAGUGUUGGUUUUUAUUCUGCUUAUUCAGUUGCUGAGAAAGUAACAGUGAUCACCAAACAUAACAAUGAUGAACAGUAUGCCUGGGAGUCCUCAUUAAGGGGAUCAUUCACAGAAUACAGAGAAUUCUACAAAAGCUUGACCAUUAACUGGGAAGAUUACUUGGCAGUGAAGCAUUUUUCAGUUGAAGGACAGUUGGAAUUCAGAGCCUUUCUAUUUGUCCCACGACUUGCUCCUUUUGAGCUGUUGGAAACCAGAAAGAAAAAGAACAAAAUCAAAUUGUCUGCACGCAGAGAUCUCAUCAUGGAUAACUGUGAGGAGCUAAUCCCUGAAUAUCUGAACUUCAUCAGAGGGGUGGUAGACUCGGAGGAUCUCCCUCUAAAUAUUUUCCGUGAGACCAAGGACCAGGUAGCUAACUCAACCAUUGUGCAACGUCUUUGGAAACAUGGCUUGGAAGUGAUCUAUACGAUCGAGCCCAUUGAUGAGUACUGUGUCCAGCAGCUGAAGGAAUUUGAGGGGAAGACUUUAGUGUCAGUCACCAAAGAGGACUUGGAACUUCCAGAGGAUGAAGAAGAGAAAAAGAAACAGGAAGAGGGAAAACAAAAAACGAAACAAAAAAAAAACCAAAGUUUGAGAACCUCUGCAAAAUCCACAUAUGGCUGGACAGCAAACAUGGAGAGAAUCAUGAAAGCUCAAGCCCUAAGAGACAACUCAACAACAGGUUACAUGGCAGCAAAGAAACACCUGGAGAUAAACCCCGACCAUUCCUUUAUUGACACCUUAAGGCAAAAGGCAGAGACUGAUAAGAAUGACAAGUCUGUGAAGGAUCUGGUCAUCUUGCUUUAUGAAACUGCGCUCCUGUCUUCUGACUUCGGGCUGGAAGGUCCCCAGACACAUGCUAACAGGAUCUACAGGAUGAACAAACUUGGUCUGGGUACUGAUGAAGAUGACCCUACUGCUGAUGAUACCAGUGCAGCUGUAACUGAAGAAAUGCCACCCCUCGAAGGAGAUGACGACACAUCACGCAUGGAAAAGUAG
ensembl:lncRNA novel transcript